UACGUAGGGUGCGAGCGUUAAUCGGAAUUACUGGGCGUAAAGGGUGCGCAGGCGGCGUCGCAAGUCAGGCGUGAAAUCCCCGGGCUCAACCCGGGAACUGCGUCCGAUACUGGAAGGCUUGAAUCCGGGAGAGGGAUGCGGAAUUCCAGGUGUAGCGGUGAAAUGCGUAGAUAUCUGGAGGAAUACCGGUGGCGAAGGCGGCAUCCUGGACCGGCAUUGACGCUGAUGAGCGAAAGCUAGGGGAGCAAACGGG
rnacentral:rRNA from 1 species